rnacentral:rRNA from 1 species
UUUUAACGAGAGUUUGAUCCUGGCUCAGGAUGAACGCUGGCGGCGUGCUUAACACAUGCAAGUCGAACGAAGCACCUUGAUUUGAUUCUUCGGAUGAAGAUCUUGGUGACUGAGUGGCGGACGGGUGAGUAACGCGUGGGUAACCUGCCUCAUACAGGGGGAUAACAGUUAGAAAUGACUGCUAAUACCGCAUAAGACCACAG